AGAGUUUGAUCCUGGCUCAGAACGAACGCUGGCGGCGUGCCUAACACAUGCAAGUCGUACGAGAAAAUCCGCUUCGGCGGGUGAGUAGAGUGGCGCACGGGUGAGUAACGCGUGGAUAAUCUGCCUUUAAGCUGGGAAUAACUCACCGAAAGGUGGGCUAAUACCCGAUAAUGCUAUGGGACUUCGGUUUUAUAGCCAAAGAGAGCCUCUACAUGUAAGCCUUCACUUAAAGAUGAGUCCGCGUACCAUUAGCUAGUUGGUAGGGUAAUGGCCUACCAAGGCGACGAUGGUUAGCUGGUCUGAGAGGAUGAUCAGCCACACUGGAACUGAGACACGGUCCAGACUCCUACGGGAGGCAGCAGUGAGGAAUAUUGCGCAAUGGGGGCAACCCUGACGCAGCAACGCCGCGUGAGUGAGGAAGGUUUUCGGAUCGUAAAGCUCUGUCGGGUGGGAAGAAAUGUAUGGAGGUUAAUAGCCUUCGUACUUGACGGUACCGCCAAAGGAAGCACCGGCUAACUCCGUGCCAGCAGCCGCGGUAAUACGGGGGGUGCAAGCGUUGUUCGGAAUCAUUGGGCGUAAAGAGCGUGUAGGCGGCUAGGCAAGUCAGAUGUGAAAUCCCUGGGCUUAACCCAGGACGUGCAUUUUGAAACUGCUUAGCUUGAGUAAGGAAGAGGGAAGUGGAAUUCCUGGUGUAUAGGUGAAAUUCGUAGAUAUUCGGGAGGAACACCGGUGGCGAAGGCGACUUCCUGGUCCUUAUACCGACGCUGAGACCCAAAAGCGUGGGGAACAAACGGAAUAGAUACCCUGGUAAUCCCCGCCUUUAAACUAAUGUUCACUUAGGUGGUUGAGGGUAUUGAACCCCUUUCAGUGCC
rnacentral:rRNA from 1 species